rnacentral:rRNA from 1 species
CGUAGCCGAUGGGAACCACGUUAAUAUUCGUGGGCCGAGGAGUGUGUGACGGAUUUCGAAAGUUGUCAUCCCUUAUUGGAUUGGGAUGGCGGCCUGGAAGUCCCAGGAAAUAGCCCUCCAUUAAGACCGUACCCUAAACCGACACAGGUGGAUAGGUAGAGAAUACCAAGGCGCUUGAGAGAACUAUGCUGAAGGAACUCGGCAAAUUACCUCCGUAACUUCGGGAGAAGGAGGCCUCACUCUAGGCAACUAGAACUGAGGGGCACAGACCAGGGGGUUGCGACUGUUUAUCAAAAACACAGGGCUCUGCGAA